rnacentral:rRNA from 1 species
CGCGUAAGUGAGAUGCUUACACAUGCAAGUCGAUUCAAGUUACCUUCGGGUAAUGAGGAUGGCGGACGGGUGAGUAACGCGUAAGGAACUUGCCUCUUGGACUGGGACAACUGUUGGAAACGACAGCUAAUACCGGAUAUUAUGAGAUUCUCGCAUGAGAAACUUAUGAAAGCUAUAUGCGCCAAGAGAGAGCCUUGCGUUCCAUUAGCUAGUUGGUGGGGUAACGGCCCACCAAGGCGACGAUGGAUAGCCGGCCUGAGAGGGUGAACGGCCACAAGGGGACUGAGACACGGCCCUUACUCCUACGGGAGGCAGCAGUGGGGAAUAUUGGACAAUGGGCCACAAGCCUGAUCCAGCAAUUCUGUGUGCACGAUGAAGGUCUUCGGAUUGUAAAGUGCUUUCAGUUGGGAAGAAGAAAGUGACGGUACCAACAGAAGAAGCGACGGCUAAAUACGUGCCAGCAGCCGCGGUAAUACGUAUGUCGCAAGCGUUAUCCGGAUUUAUUGGGCGUAAAGCGCGUCUAGGCGGAAAAAUAAGUCUGAUGUUAAAAUGCGGGGCUCAACUCCGUAUUGCGUUGGAAACCGUUUUUCUAGAGUACUGGAGAGGUGGGCGGAACUACAAGUGUAGAGGUGAAAUUCGUAGAUAUUUGUAGGAAUGCCGAUGGAGAAGUCAGCUCACUGGACAGAUACUGACGCUGAAGCGCGAAAGCGUGGGGAGCAAACAGGAUUAGAUACCCUGGUAAUCCACGCCGUAAACGAUGAUCACUAGGUGUUGGGGGUCGAACCUCAGCGCCCAAGCUAACGCGAUAAGUGAUCCGCCUGGGGAGUACGCACGCAAGUGUGAAACUCAAAGGAAUUGACGGGGACCCGCACAAGCGGUGGAGCAUGUGGUUUAAUUCGACGCAACGCGAGAAACCUUACCAGCGUUUGACAUCCUAAGAAGUUUCCAGAGAUGGAUUCGUGCCGGCUUGCCGGAACUUAGUGACAGGUGGUGCAUGGCUGUCGUCAGCUCUUGUCGGGAGAUGUUGGGUUAAUUCCCGCAACGAGCGCAUCCCCUAUUGGAUGUUCCUCACUUUUAGGUUGCGGCUUACG